rnacentral:rRNA from 1 species
GAGUAAAGGCUCCGGCGCUCUGGGAGGGGCUUGCGGCCCAUCAGCUAGUUGGUAGGGUAAAGGCCUACCAAGGCGAAGACGGGUAGGGGGUGUGAGAGCACGACCCCCCACAAUGGGACUGAAACACGGCCCAUACUCCUACGGGAGGCAGCAGCAGGGAAUAUUGCACAAUGGGCGAAAGCCUGAUGCAGCGACGCCGCGUGAGUGAAGAAGGCCUUCGGGUCGUAAAGCUCUUUUGUAGGGGAAGAGGAAGGACGGUACCCUGAGAAAAAAGCGUCGGCUAACUACGUGCCAGCAGCCGCGGUAAGACGUAGGACGCGAGCGUUAUCCGGAAUUACUGGGCGUAAAGGGCCAGCAGGCGGCUAGGUAAGUUGUGCGUGAAAGCCUCGUGCUCAACGCGAGGAAGCCGGACAAUACUGUCUAGCUGGAGGGCAUCAGAGGGGAGUGGAAUUCCCGGAGUAGCGGUAAAAUGCGCAGAUAUCGGGAGGAACACCGAUGGCGAAGGCAACUCCCUGGGGUGUACCUGACGCUAAGUGGCGAAAGCUAGGGGAGCGAACAGGAUUAGAGACCCUGGUAGUCCUAGCUGUAAACGCUGGGUGCUAGGUGUGGGGCGUAGAAGCUCUGUGCCGGAGCGAACGCGAUAAGCACCCCGCCUGGGAAUUACGGUCGCAAGGCUAAAACUCAAACGAAUUGACGGGGCCCCGCACAAGCAGCGGAGCGUGUGGUUCAAUUCGAUGCUACACGAAGAACCUUACCUGGGUUUGACAUGUACGUGGUAGAGAAGCGAAAGCGGAUUGACCCUUCGGGGAGCGUACACAGGUGCUGCAUGGCUGUCGUCAGCUCGUGCCGUGAGGUGUCGGGUUAAGUCCCGUAACGAGCGCAACCCUUGCCCUUAGUUACAAGUGUCUAGGGGGACUGCCGGCGGGAAGCCGGAGGAAGGUGGGGAUGACGUCAAGUCAGCAUGGCCCUUAUGUCCAGGGCUACACACACGCUACAAUGGUCAGUACAAAGGGUAGCGAAGCCGUGAGGUGGAGCGAAUCUCAGCAAAGCUGAUCGUAGUUCGGAUUGCAGGCUGCAACCCGCCUGCAUGAAGCUGGAGUUGCUAGUAACCGCGCGUCAGCCAUA